ACAUGUCCUCUAGUUUAUCUAUUUCAUUUGAACCAAAAAUAGUGAAUGAUCUUGUCAAUAAGUGGUAUAACUACUCAAGAAUUUCAAUUGCAUUUAUAUUCAUCAUUAUAGGAACUUGAUUCAUGCUUUUCUGAACCUUUUCUCAUUAAUGAACUCCUUGUAUACCUAGAGUGUAUUUUUCAAAGAGGAUGGAUUAAUUCCUACCUCUCUUUCUAUCUUUAAGAUGUUUGGAUUUUUUAAAGCUCUCCAUGAACAUGAAGAAGAGAAAUACUAUUCCCACUCAGAGUAAAACACGAUUUUGACUUGUUCAAAUAAUAAGUAAAGUUAAUAAUGUUCAGG
rnacentral:lncRNA from 1 species